ACUCAACCUAACCCAUUUCUUCAAUAGACUGGUUUCAAAUUUAGACUUUUUACUUGUUUAACCAUGUUCUACUCCUUUAGUAGUCGGAUUGUAUCAUAACCCAACCUAUUUAAGAUAUGUUUAACAUGGUUUAUAUAUUUAAGACUUGUUUAACCCGUUUAACCUAAUUUAACUUGUUUAUUAAAUGGGUUAUCAAGGUAGGGUCAAGUUACUUGUUUAGUCAAAAAGGUGAGGUUCAAGUUUGGAUUUUUGACCCAUUUAAGAAAUGAGUUGGGUUUAUAUUGGCAUAUAUUCAUCUCAACCUGCAUUCAACUCAACCCUUAUUUAAUUCGAUCCAUCUUAAUUACCAACCCUAAUUAUCAGUACACUAUGAUCAAUGAUAAUUGCAUGACCAAUUGACCCAUAAUACCUACAUAAUGUGCUUGUACCAUCUCUACUUGACCUCUCUAAUUUAUUUGAUGCAACCAGACUUAUUUCUAUUUUUUUUUUAAAAUUAAAAGCUUGCAUCAUCCUCACCCAAACCAUCCUGACAUAACUUUUAGAUUUAUUCUAACCUAACCCGGUC
rnacentral:lncRNA from 1 species